AUGUGGAGCCGCGAGGAUCACCCGCCCUGGGUUGAUAAUCCGGGUCACUUAGCUUUGGUGGUGGUACCUAAGGUUGGAGGGUAUAAAUUCACUAAGGUACUCAUGGACGGAGGCAACAGCAUCAAUAUCCUUUAUUAUGAAACUUUCCGUCGCAUGGGAUUGACUGCUAAAAAUCUUAAACCGUCGAACACCGUUUUUCACGGUGUGGUGCCUGGUAAGUCGGCAUACCCGGUUGGUAAGAUAGCCCUGGAGGUUGCUUUUGGAGAUGAUUACGAUUCCAGGUCUGAGACGUUGACCUUUGAAGUGGUUAAGAUCAAGAGCCCCUAUCAUGCUCUGUUUGGGCGGCCGGCUUAUGCCAAAUUCAUGGCACAACCUUGUUAUGUUUAUCUGCAGCUCAAAAUGUCGGGUCACAAGGGGACUAUCACAGUGCAUGGAAGCCGGAAGAUAGCUUUGGAGUGUGAAGAAAGUGAUGUGGCUUAUGUUGAGUCUGUCUAUGCAACAGAGGAAUUAAAGUUUUACAAAGAUAAUGUUGACCCGACCGAUAUGACAUCUUUGAAGAAGCCAACUAUGGAGCACGAUCCGGUCUUGAAGUUUAAAUCGACGGAUGACACCAAGCCAGUUGAUUUCGUUCUUGGCGAUCCAUCCAAGCAGUUCAGCAUCAGUGCUAAUCUAGAUCCGAAAUAG
rnacentral:rRNA from 1 species